CAAUAGCGUAUAUUAAAGUUGUUGCAGUUAAAAAGCUCGUAGUUGGAUUUCUGGUGGGAGCGAUCGGUCUGGCGCUUAGCGCGAGUACUUGCAUCGUCUCCGGCCAUCCUUGGGGAGAGUCUGUCUGGCAUUAAGUUGUCGGGCAGAGGAUCCUCAUCGUUUACUGUGAAAAAAUUAGAGUGUUCAAAGCAGGCUUAUGCCGUUGAAUAUAUUAGCAUUGAAUAAUAAGAUAGGACUUUGGUACUAUUUUGUUGGUUUGCGCACCAAAGUAAUGAUUAAUAGGGACAGUUGGGGGUAUUCGUAUUCCGUUGUCAGAGGUGAAAUUCUUGGAUUUACGGAAGACGAACUACUGCGAAAGCAUUUACCAAGGAUGUUUUCAUUAA
rnacentral:rRNA from 1 species